rnacentral:tRNA from 1 species
GAGGUUGUGGCUCAGUCAUAGAGCGCUUGCUUAGCAUGCAUGAGGCACUGGGUUCAAUUCUCAGUACCACA